ACUUCCAUGUGGUAGUCUUGCUAUUACAAUCCUGUACUGUUGUUAAGUGCUAUAUAUCAGUAAGUGCUGGCCUAGUUUCUAAUGUGCAUCAAUUUACAUUAUUAAACCUGAACUUAUGAAAUUUGACAUUUGAAUUGACAAGUUCUUCCUCAAACCAAUUUUCAAAUAUCUUCUUUGUUGGUUGUGCUUUUUAGGGAGAAUAAAAUGGCUUGUUUCCUGUUUGAUCAUUUCAAUCAGUAUUUGCAUCACUUUGUCAUGUAUUCUUAGUUCUCACAACCACCUUGUACUUAUGCAUGUACUUUGUAGUGAGAAAGCAAGUCUAGAGCAGGAGUUUUCCAUCUGG
rnacentral:misc_RNA from 1 species